UUAUGAUUUGGAAUUUUUGGC
rnacentral:piRNA from 1 species